UUCUAUCAUGUCGAAGUCAGAAGACUUCUAGAGUCAAAGAGAUGACAAUAUACUCAUAUAUAAAGCCGCUGUUUACGAAAUUACUGUAAAAAAAAGAAAAGAAAAAAAGAAUAUAUUUGUAGUAAAGUCCUACAUUAUUACGACAUGCGGGGAAUUUUAAAAUAAGUCAUAUAACUAGAUAUACAGGACAGUCUUAAUUAAGACCUAGGGAGUUAUUUUUUUACUAGUGAAAGGAAGGUAGAAAUGAAGGUUAUUUCAGGUGUUGGACACUCCCGACACAGAGAGAGCUGCUGCCUUGAAAAGCAAGUUUAUUUUUGGUGUCUUGACAUUAGAGCUCAUCUGUCAUGGCCGCCACCCUACUUUGUGAAGUUCCAUCUUGUUCGUCUUCUUCCUCCCAAUGAUGCAUACUCUUUCAUAGCGACGCGAGACAUACGACUGUUGAUCACUCCAUCAUGACGAAAGAAGAAGAGAUCCCUGACUGGGUGGGUGCCCAGGAGUUCUAUGACAAGUAUGACCCCAAGGAGAUUCUGGGAAGGGGAGUAAGCAGUGUGGUGCGUCGCUGCGUCGACAAACGGUCGUCUCAGGAGUACGCCGUGAAGAUCAUCGACAUCACCCCUUCAGACAAGACGACCCCGCAGGAGAUCGAGGAGAUCCGGGAUUCAACGGUGAAGGAGAUCGACAUCCUCAAGAAAGUGUUUGGACAGGAGAACAUCAUACAGCUAAAAGACUGUUAUGAAUCCAAUGCCUUCUACUUCUUGAUUUUUGACCUGUACGUAAGCUCAAGUAAGAAUAUUCCACUUACAACUCUGUUAUUUAAUUUGAAUACUUGUCUUAUAAAUCCCAGGAUGAGGAGGGGGGAACUUUUUGAUUACCUCACAGAGAAAGUGACUCUGAGUGAGAAGGAAACAAGGAAGAUCAUGCGUGCUCUGCUGGAAGUGGUUCAGUUUCUCCACGAGCAGCACAUCGUCCAUCGAGAUCUCAAGCCUGAGAACAUCCUUCUGGACGACGAGAUGAACAUCAAACUCACCGACUUUGGCUUCGCCGUGCAACUCCAAUCAGGACAGAAACUCAAAGAGGUGUGUGGGACUCCCGUUUAUCUGGCUCCCGAGAUCAUUGAGUGCUCCAUGGACUCAGACCAUGACGGAUACGGAACUGCUGUGGACAUAUGGAGCGCUGGGGUGAUCAUGUACACACUCCUGGCCGGCUCGCCGCCCUUCUGGCACAGGAAACAGAUGCUGAUGCUGCGUAUGAUCUUAGCCGGGAGUUACGACUUCUCAUCGCCCGAGUGGGAAGACCGCUCAGACACUGUCAAGGAUUUGAUCUCUCGGAUGCUUGUGGUGGACCCCAGGAAGCGUUACUCGGUCAUCGACGCGCUCAAUCAUCCCUUCUUCUCCCAGUAUGUCGUGCACGAAGUCAGACAGUUCAGUCCAUACAGGAAGUUCAAGGUCAUCUGCAUGACGGUGCUGGCCACCAUGCGCAUCUACUGCAACUACCGCAGAGCCAAGCCCGUCACCAAGGAGGUGAUGAAGAGCGACCCGUACGCGCUCAAGCCCAUCCGCAAGCUCAUCGACGCGUGCGCCUUCAAGAUGUACGGCCACUGGGUCAAGAAGGGCCAGACGCAGAACCGAGCGGCUCUUUUCGAGAACACGUCCAAGGCCAUCCUGCUGUCCAUGGCGGCCGAGGCGGACGGGCCUGUCCAUCCCCUCUGGUGAUGACAAAACGGUCAUCUCGGCUGGUGUGAAUUUUACGUGGAGGAAAAAACGGUGAGGCACCAACCACUUAAGGAGGCUAACAAUAGCUUCUCGUGUUUGAUUCGGCCAACAAAGAAUGUGUAAAGAGCAUGAAGGAAUGAGUCACUGGGCAUAGAAAACGUUGCCCUCCUCUCCAUUCUGCUGCUUCAACAUCGCUCAAAUCGAGCUGCGGACAUGUUGUGACACCUAUCAUGCAACAUGAUCCAACCAUGGCAACACAACUCGGCUUGAUCAAAAAACACGUUUGUGUCGCAAAGCUCAAACUGUUUUUAAAUAAAUGAAAUCAAUGGCAAUGUUGAUGUUACACUUUAUUGCUUUUCAAAUAUUACUGCACAAGAUGAAGCCUGGAACUUGUCUUUAAUUCUCCUGAGGUUCUUCAUGCCCACCGAAGCCCUGUGGAACACACAAAAACAUUACAAUUUGACUAGAACACAAUGUGUGACACAUAAUGCAUGAUGUUUUAAAUAAAUCAAGUAUUACAUACACCAUUACGCCUCUGAAUGGCCACCAUAGAACAGAGGUGUCCAAACAUUUUCCACAGAGGGUCGCAUACUGAAAAUCCCAGUAUGCGGGAGAUUGAUUUAUUUUGUCUUAAUGGCGUAAACAGGCUCCAGCUAAUUUAAUAUAUAUAUAUAUUUUGGCCCUGCCUGGACAAACAUGAACACUUUUGUCUGUGGUCACUGGCGAAAGGAGUACCGAAUUUUUCAGAGUAUAAGUC